rnacentral:rRNA from 1 species
GACGGACGCUGGCGGCGUGCCUAAUACAUGCAAGUUGAGCGCUGAAGGUUGGUACUUGUACCGACUGGAUGAGCAGCGAACGGGUGAGUAACGCGUGGGUAAUCUGCCUUUGAGCGGGGGACAACAUUUGGAAACGAAUGCUAAUACCGCAUAAAAACUUUAAACACAAGUUUUAAGUUUGAAAGAUGCAAUUGCAUCACUCAAAGAUGAUCCCGCGUUGUAUUAGCUAGUUGGUGAGGUAAAGGCUCACCAAGGCGAUGAUACAUAGCCGACCUGAGAGGGUGAUCGGCCACAUUGGGACUGAGACACGGCCCAAACUCCUACGGGAGGCAGCAGUAGGGAAUCUUCGGCAAUGGACGAAAGUCUGACCGAGCAACGCCGCGUGAGGGAAGAAGGGUUUCGGAUCGUAAAACUCUGUUGGUAGAGAAGAACGUUGGUGAGAGUGGAAAGCUCAUCAAGUGACGGUAACUACCCAGAAAGGGACGGCUAACUACGUG